rnacentral:rRNA from 1 species
GAUGAACGCUAGCGGCAGGCCUAACACAUGCAAGUCGAGGGGUAGACAUCUUCGGAUGUUGAGACCGGCGCACGGGUGCGUAACGCGUAUGCAAUCUACCUUAUACUAAGGGAUAGCCCAGAGAAAUUUGGAUUAAUACCUUAUGGUUAAUUGGAAAGGCAUCUUUCUAAUUAUAAAGAUUCAUUGGUAUAAGAUGAGCAUGCGUCCCAUUAGUUAGUUGGUAAGGUAACGGCUUACCAAGACGAUGAUGGGUAGGGGUCCUGAGAGGGAGAUCCCCCACACUGGAACGUAGACACGGACCAGACUCCUACGGGAGGCAGCAGUGAGGAAUAUUGGUCAAUGGGCGCAAGCCUGAACCAGCCAUGCCGCGUGCAGGAUGAAGCAUCUAUGGUGUGUAAACUGCUUUUGUACGGGAAGAAAAAACAUUACGUGUAAUGUACUGACGGUACCGUAAGAAUAAGGAUCGGCUAACUCCGUGCCAGCCGCCGCCGUAA